UACGGGGGGGGCAAGCGUUGUUCGGAAUCACUGGGUGUAAAGGGUGCGUAGGCGGUCCGAUAAGUCUGAUGUGAAAGUCCGGGGCUCAACUCCGGAUCUGCGGUGGGUACGGGCAGACUAGAGUGAUGUAGGGGAGACUGGAAUUCCUGGUGUAGCGGUGAAAUGCGCAGAUAUCAGGAGGAACACCGAUGGCGAAGGCAGGUCUCUGGGCCGAUACUGACGCUGAGGAGCGAAAGCGUGGGGAGCGAACAGG
rnacentral:rRNA from 1 species